ensembl:lncRNA
UGUGCAUAGUCUCAGCCCUUUCCCCGGGAGCCAGACCUCACCCAGAAAUCCCAAGGUUCAAGAUCUUCUUUAACAAACCAGAAAACGCAGGCCAAACCCUAAUCCAUCAUGUCGGUUUAGGCAUGCUGCCUCCUGGAAACCACAGUGUUAUGUGCAGAUACUUCAGCAGGUCCUUGUUCCAAGACAGAAGCAGAAGUUGUCCUCUUUAGUGAAGGGAGCAGCUGAUAUUUCAUUUUCUUGCCACAGGGCAUGUUGACAGAAGAACAAGUGUCUCUGUAGAAAGUCAUCUCCAAAUUCACCCCUUGCCCGAAGUUCUUCCCAUUUUAAACAAACAAAGAAAAUUUAAGGUGUGUAUCCAAAAGUUCUUGACUUGGGUACAGUGCAUUCCUGAGAUGCCCUCUUUGGGAGUACGGGAGGCUAGCUGGAAGAAUUCCAAGGAAAAGAAUUUUCCACAAAAUUCAAGAUUGUAGAAACUUAGAGAAGGUUGAUGAAAACACAGGAAGCCUAGUGGGCAGGCUUCUGCCUAGGGCAGAACCCACAAAUCAGGGCAUCUGUUCGGAAGGUCUGGAUGAACACCCAUCAUGCAUUAGUGCAGUAGAGUUUAGUAACCAGCUUUAGCCAAUCUUGCCAGUUGUGCAGAAAACGAGGCCCAGUACUAGCAAGUCUUAGCAUAUGCUCCCUUUUUAUUAUAAAUGGGUGGUUUUUUUAUAAUUUUUACUGAUGCUCAGUAACCAUGCAAAACUGUGCACAUCCAUGUACUAAUAGAUCUGUCCCUAUCUCUGUAUGCAUAUAUAUCAGCUCACUGUAGAAACCCACAGCUUCCGAGCAUCGCAGACUCAUGCAAACCAAGUGAUCUUGUUUACAGUAACCGUCAACAGUGCCAAUAAGUGGUUGAGGACACUAACAAUGUCACAGUGUAACUGGUGACCACAUGCAGUCCCAUGAAUUAAAUGUUUCCUGUGUUAAUCAGUAUUCUUAAAUUAAAAGAAAACGUUUAUAAUGGAG